rnacentral:rRNA from 1 species
CUACGGAAGGUCCGGGCGUUAUCCGGAUUUAUUGGGUUUAAAGGGAGCGCAGGCGGAGAUGCAAGCGUGACGUCAAAUUUCGGGGCUCAACCCCGUCUCGCGUCGCGAACUGCGUCCCUUGGUUGCGGGAAGGGGAGGCGGAACUCGUGGUGUAGCGGUGAAACGCAUAGAUAUCACGAAGAACUCCGAUCGCGAAGGCAGCCUUCCGGCCCGUCAACGACGCUCAUGCUCGAAGGUGCGGGUAUCAAACAGGAUUAGAUACCCUGGUAGUCCGCACAGUGAACGAUGGACACCCGCGGUUUGGCCUGUAUGGCUGAGCCGCCAAGCGAAAGCGUUAAGUGUCCCACCUGGGGAGUACGCCGGCAACGGUGAAACUCAAAUGAAUUGACGGGG